rnacentral:sRNA from 1 species
GAGCUCCAGGAACCAGGCUGUGAGGUCUUGGUCUGAGGCAGUAUCUCAAUCACAGAGCAUAAGAGGCCCAGGCAGUAGUAGCAGUCAAAGCUGAGGUGGUGUUUCCCCUGUAUGUAUACCAGAGGCCCCUCUGGCAUCAGAACAGCAGGAACCCCACAGUUCCUGGCCCUACCAGCCCUUUUGUCAGUCCUGGAGCCUUGGCCUUUGCCAGGAGGCUGCACCCUGAGAUGCCCUCUCAAUUUCUCCUUCAGGUUCGCAGAGAACAGGCCAGCCAGGAGGUCAGGAGGCCCCAGAGAAGCACUGAAGAAGACCUGUAAGUAGACCUUUGUUAGGGGCAUCCAGGGUGUAGUACCCAGCUGAGGCCUCUCACACGCUUCCUCUCUCCCCAGGCCUGUGGGUCUCAAUUGCCCAGCUCCGGCCCACACUCUCCUGCUGCCCUGACCUGAGUCAUCAUGCUUCUUGGGCAGAAGAGUCAGCGCUACAAGGCUGAGGAAGGCCUUUCAGGCCCAAGGAGAGGCACCAGGGCUUAUGGAUGUGCAGAUUCCCACAGCUGAGGAGCAGAAGGCUGCAUCCUCCUCCUCUACUCUGAUCAUGGGAACCCUUGAGGAGGUGACUGAUUCUGGGUCACCAAGUCCUCCCAGAGUCCUGAGGGUGCCUCCUCUUCCCUGACUGUCACCGACAGCACUCUAUGGAGCCAAUCCGAUGAGGGUUCCAGCAUCAAUGAAGAGGAGGGGCCAAGCACCU